rnacentral:misc_RNA from 1 species
AAAGUCGUAACAAGGUUUCCGUAGGUGAACCUGCGGAAGGAUCAUUACAAAUCCAACGUCUCCUCAUCCGAGACCACGUUGAACUGUUCCCGGCACAGGGCCGUGUGGGUGGGUGGCUGGUGGGUGAGUGAGUGGUGGUGAGUGUGCCUUGUGCAUGCUCCCCCCCCUCUCUCAUACCACCCCCCCUCCGCACUGCCGUGUGUCGACCCCUUUAUACAACCUAGUGUGACCGUUGCUGCAUAUGUAUGUCUUUUGUUAACACAACAACAAGAAACAACUUAUAACAAUGGAUCUCUAGGCUCUU